GGAUGGGUAGGGGAGCGUCGUGUGCCGGGUGAAGCUGCGCCGGAAGGCAGUGGUGGACGGUUCACGAGUGAGAAUGCAGGCAUGAGUAGCGAUACAUACGUGAGAAACGUGUGCGCCGAUUGACUAAGGGUUCCUGGGUCAAGCUGAUCUGCCCAGGGUAAGUCGGGACCUAAGGCGAGGCCGACAGGCGUAGUCGAUGGAUAACCGGUUGAUAUUCCGGUACCCGCUGUGAAGCGUCAAACAUCGAAUCCAGUGAUGCUAAGGCCGUGAAGCCGCCCUGAUCUCUUCGGAGUUGAGGGGAGUGGUGGAGCCGCUGACCCGAUCUGGUAGUAGGUGAGUGAUGGGGUGACGCAGGAAGGUAGUCCAGCCCGGGCGGUGGUUGUCCCGGGGUAAGGGUGUAGGACGUGAUCCAGGCAAAUCCGGAUCACACAUAGUCUGAGACCUGAUGCCGAGCCGAUUGUGGUGAAGUGGAUGAUCCUAUGCUGUCGAGAAAAGCCUCUAGCGAGUUUCAUGGCGGCCCGUACCCUAAACCGACUCAGGUGGUCAGGUAGAGAAUACCGAGGCGUUCGGGUGAACUAUGGUUAAGGAACUCGGCAAAAUGCCCCCGUAACUUCGGGAGAAGGGGGGCCAUUCCUGGUGAUGAGAUUUACUCUCUGAGCUGGGGGUGGCCGCAGAGACCAGCGAGAAGCGACUGUUUACUAAAAACACAGGUCCGUGCGAAGCCGUAAGGCGAUGUAUACGGACUGACGCCUGCCCGGUGCUGGAACGUUAAGGGGACCGGUUAGUCACUCUUCGGGGUGGCGAAGCUGAGAACUUAAGCGCCAGUAAACGGCGGUGGUAACUAUAACCAUCCUAAGGUAGCGAAAUUCCUUGUCGGGUAAGUUCCGACCUGCACGAAUGGCGUAACGACUUCUCGACUGUCUCAACCAUAGGCCCGGUGAAAUUGCACUACGAGUAAAGAUGCUCGUUUCGCGCAGCAGGACGGAAAGACCCCGGGACCUUUACUACAGUUUGAUAUUGGUGUUCGGUUCGGCUUGUGUAGGAUAGGUGGGAGACUGUGAAGCGGGCACGCCAGUGUUCGUGGAGUCGUCGUUGAAAUACCACUCUGGUCGUGCUGGAUGUCUAAC
rnacentral:rRNA from 1 species